rnacentral:rRNA from 1 species
GACAAACGCUGGCGGCGUGCCUAAUACAUGCAAGUCGAACGACGAAAGCCUUCGGGCAAGUAAGAGUGGCGCACGGGCGAGGAACACGUAGAUAAUCUGCCCUUCAGUGGGGAAUAACUCUCCGAAAGGAGUGCUACUACCGCAUAAAACCACAAGCUCUUCGGAGCAAGGGGUUAAAGGAUUUAUUCGCUGAAGGAUGAGUCUGCGUCCGAUUAGCUAGUUGGUGAGGUAAUGGCUUACCAAGGCAAUGAUCGGUAUACGGUCUGAGAGGAUGAUCAUCCGCACUGGAACUGAGACACUGUCCAGACUCUUACGGGAGGCAGCAGUAGGGAAUAUUGCACAAUGGGGGAAACCCUGAUGCAGCAACGCCGCGUGAGUGAUGAAGGCUCUAGGGUCGUAAAGCUCUGUCGUAUGGGAAGAAAAAAAUGACGGUACCAUACAAGAAAGGACCGGCCAACUUCGUGCCAGCCGCCGCCGUAA